GACGAACGCUGGCGGCGUGCUUUACACAUGCAAGUCGAACGAUGAAGUUCCUUCGGGAAUGGAUUAGUGGCGAACGGGUGAGGAACACGUGAGAAAUCUGCCCUUCAUUUUGGGAUAACUCCGGGAAACCGGGGCUAAUACCAAAUACUCCAUCCCGGUGGCAUCACUGGGCUGGGAAAGAAUUUCGAUGAAGGUUGAUCUCGCGGCCUAUCAGCUAGUUGGUGAGGUAAUGGCUCACCAAGGCAACGACGGGUAGCCGGCCUGAGAGGGCGACCGGCCACACUGGGACUGAGACACGGCCCAGACUCCUACGGGAGGCAGCAGUGGGGAAUAUUGGGCAAUGGAGGAAACUCUGACCCAGCGACGCCGCGUGCGGGAUGAAGGCCUUCGGGUUGUAAACCGCUUUCAGUAGGGAAGAAGCGAAAGUGACGGUACCUACAAAAGAAGCACCGGCUAACUAUGUGCCAGCAGCCGCGGUAAUACAUAGGGUGCAAGCGUUGUCCGGAAUUAUUGGGCGUAAAGAGCUCGUAGGUCGUUUGCCACGUCGGAUGUGAAAACCUGAGGCUCAACCUCAGGCCUGCAUUCGAUACGAGCAAACUAGAGUUUGGUAGGGGAGACUGGAAUUCCUGGUGUAGCGGUGGAAUGCGCAGAUAUCAGGAGGAACACCAACGGCGAAGGCAGGUCUCUGGGCCAAUACUGACACUGAGGAGCGAAAGUCUGGGGAGCGAACAGGAUUAGAUACCCUGGUAGUCCAGACCGUAAACGGUGGGCACUAGUUGUGGGAACCUUCCACGGUUUCUGCGACGCAGCUAACGCAUUAAGUGCCCCGCCUGGGGAGUACGAUCGCAAGAUUAAAACUCAAAGGAAUUGACGGGGCCCCGCACAAGCAGCGGAGCAUGCGGCUCAAUUCGACGCAACGCGAAGAACCUUACCAAGGCUUGACAUAUAGGGAAAAGUGGCAGAGAUGCCAUGUCCGCAAGGGCCCUAUACAGGUGGUGCAUGGUUGUCGUCAGCUCGUGUCGUGAGAUGUUGGGUUAAG
rnacentral:rRNA from 1 species